rnacentral:rRNA from 1 species
AUUGAACGCUGGCGGCAUGCCUAACACAUGCAAGUCGAACGGGGCAGCAAUGCCUAGUGGCGGACGGGUGAGGAAUACGUAGGAAUCUGCCCUUAAGUGGGGGAUAACCAGGGGAAACCCUGACUAAUACCGCAUGAUCUCUUCGGAGCAAAGAGGGGGACCUUCGGGCCCUACGCUAAAAGAUGAGCCUAUGUUGGAUUAGCUAGUUGGUAGGGUAAAGGCCUACCAAGGCGACGAUCCAUAGCUGGUCUGAGAGGAUGAUCAGCCACACUGGGACUGAGACACGGCCCAGACUCCUACGGGAGGCAGCAGUGGGGAAUAUUGGACAAUGGGCGAAAGCCUGAUCCAGCAACGCCGUGUGUAUGAAGAAGGCCUUCGGGUUGUAAAGCACUUUUAGUGGGGAAGAAAAGCUCAUGGCUAAUAUCCAUGAGUGCUGACGUUACCCACAGAAAAAGCACUGGCUAACUCUGUGCCAGCCGCCGCCGUAACAC